CGGUCCCUAUCCGUCGCGGGCGUAGGAAAUUUGAGAGGAGCUGUCCUUAGUACGAGAGGACCGGGAUGGACUGACCUCUGGUGCACCAGUUGUCACGCCAGUGGCACAGCUGGGUAGCUAUGUCGGGAAGGGAUAAACGCUGAAAGCAUCUAAGCGUGAAGCCCACCUCAAGAUUAGAUUUCCCAUAGCGUAAGCUAGUAAGACCCCUUGAAGAACACAAGGUUGAUAGGCUAGAGGUGUAAGUGUAGUAAUACAUUCAGCUGACUAGUACUAAUAGGUCGAGGGCUUGA
rnacentral:rRNA from 1 species